AUUGAACGCUGGAGGCAGGCCUAACACAUGCAAGUCGAGCGAGCGGCGGACGGGUGAGUAAUGUAUGGGGACUGCCCGAUCGAGGGGGAUAACUACUGGAAACGGUGGCUAAUACCGCAUACUGUCGUAUAACCAAUAUGGGAUUAGCUAGUAGGUAAGGUAAUGGCUUACCUAGGCGACGAUCCAUAGCUGGUCUGAGAGGAUGAUCAGCCACACUGGGACUGAGACACGGCCCAGACUCCUACGGAGGAAGCAGUGGGGAAUAUUGCACAAUGGGCGCAAGCCUGAUGCAGCCAUGCCGCGUGUAUGAAGAAGGCCCUAGGGUUGUAAAGUACUUUCAGUCGGGAGGCGUUACCGACAGAAGAAGCACCGGCUAACUCCGUGCCAGCAGCCGCGGUAAUUC
rnacentral:rRNA from 1 species